CAGCCGCCGCGGGAAUACGGAGGGGGCUAGCGUUGUUCGGAAUUACUGGGCGUAAAGCGCACGUAGGCGGCUUGGUAAGUUAGAGGUGAAAGCCCGGAGCUCAACUCCGGAAUUGCCAUUAAGACUGCCGAGCUAGUAGGUGAGAGAGGUAAGUGGAAUUCCGAGUGUAGAGGUGAAAUUCGUAGAUAUUCGGAAGAACACCAGUGGCGAAGGCGGCUUACUGGCUCAUUCUAGACGCUGAGGUGCGAAAGCGUGGGGAGCAAACAGGAUUAGAUACCCCUGUAGUCCCUGUCUCUUAUAC
rnacentral:rRNA from 1 species